rnacentral:rRNA from 1 species
GACGAACGCUGGCGGCGUGCUUAACACAUGCGAGUCGAACGGAAAGGCCCUGCUUUUGUGGGGUGCUCGAGUGGCGAACGGGUGAGUAACACGUGAGUAACCUGCCCUUGACUUUGGGAUAACUUCAGGAAACUGGGGCUAAUACCGGAUAGGAGCUCCUGCUGCAUGGUGGGGGUUGGAAAGUUUCGGCGGUUGGGGAUGGACUCGCGGCUUAUCAGCUUGUUGGUGGGGUAGUGGCUUACCAAGGCUUUGACGGGUAGCCGGCCGGAGAGGGUGACCGGCCACAUGGGGCCUGAGAUACGGCCCAGACUCCUACGUGAGGCAGCAGUGGGGAAUAUUGCACAAUGGGCGGAAGCCUGAUGCAGCAACGCCGCGUGCGGGAUGCCGGCUUUCGGGUUGUAAACCGCUUUCGCCUGUGACGAAGCGUGAGUGACGGUAAUGGGUAAAGAAGCACCGGCUAACUACGUG